GAAAAAAGACGCCUUCUUCGACUACUACCUAGUUAAUGGUAGUUUAGCCGUUUGCCGAGCUUUUUUUUUUUUUUUUUUUAAACCCACCAAAAGCCAUCACUGAGUUAGCUCUAGUAAGAGAGAAUAAAGAAAAUAUGCCAAGGCCCCGUACUGUGACUUGCUCUUGGGUGUUCCUAAGACCAGACGGAACUCCUCAUCCUCUUCAUGAAUUGAGUCGUCCUCCAGCUUGACCACACAAGGCUUUUCCGUCUCGCCUAUGUGGAACACCUGCUGGAGACAAAAGGAUGCCCUCUGUUUUCCCCAUCAGUGCUGAUGAGUUCACGCGAGCACGAGGCGGCGCACGCUUGAUGGUGACCUUGGCGGUGGGGAAGGAGGCGCCCACCCGGCCUCCCAUGGGCAUGCUGAGGGUGACGUUGAAGGUCUCCUCGUCCUCGUACAGCGAGUCGUCGAUGAUGAUGAUGCGGCACAGCUUCUCACGUUCAUCCUUGUCGAAACGCAGCAGACUAGUGUGGUCGUCGGCCCGAGUGAUGUAAUCCGAGUAGGAGAGCACAGAGGAUCUCAGUGACACGUAAUUGAUGCUUUUGACAUCCAUCUUGUGGCGACAAAAUCCCACCGCUUCCACCGCUUUCACCCAUCUGGUUGCCGUGUUUAGAAGACGCACGCGUUUUUUAGGUGGUGCGCCAAAUACUUCAGCACCUUGAACGCAGUGCACGGCAUGACAGAAGUACAGAAAAAGUUCAACUCUACUAAAACAAGAUGCCUAAUGUCGUGAAAACAGAAGUGCUGGAGCCGAUCCCGGAUGUCAACGGGCAGGAGCCGGGGUGCACCCUGAACUGGUCGCCAGCCAAUCGCAGAGCACAUGGGGACAGACAACAACUGUAUCACAAUCACACCUAGGGGCAAUUUAGAGGGUCCAAUUAAUGAUGCAUGUUUUUUGUGGAUGUGGGAGGAAACCGGAGUGCCCGGAGAAAACCCACGCAGGCACGGGGAGAACAUGCAAACUCCACACAGGCGUGUCCGGGAUUGAACCCGGGACUUCAGAACUGUGAGGCCAAUGCUUUACCAGCUGACCCACCGUGCCGCCCAAAAAAUAUAACAAAAUCAAAUAUGAAUGUGCAAAUUUACAUGUUGCUGGACAAUAUAAUUUCAUCUGAAACAGAAAUAAAUCAAAAUAUUUAUAAAAUCAGAAAUUAAUCCAAAUUCCACUCCAAGAAAUUGUCUUGUACUAUUUUGUUUUUACUUGUUAAUAAACUGGGCAAAAAAAUAAAGGCAAAAAGAUUGCAAAAUGAAGAUAGGGUGGAAAGGAAAAGUCCACACACUCCUAUUCAAAUUCCAAGAUUUUGAGAUGUAUAAGAAUUCAGACCAAGAUAAAAUAUUUUUUCACCAUGAAUUUAUGCAACUCAAUUGAUUUUUUUUUUUUUCUUUUUGAGAAUCCGCUUGAACAUAACGCACCAUAGCUAAUAAAUAAUCUUGCAUAGGAUUGAUUUGGACUUGACGUUUAACUUGCCGCCUUCUUGGCCAGGGCACCCUUGCAAAAGAGAUGUUCCGUCUCAGUUGAUGAUUUUUGAAGAGAAAAUUAUUUGUGGGAAGUAGUAGAAAGUCAGAACCGCUGUCUUAGAUAAAUGCAUUAGACAGGGACCGGGCCGGUCGGAACCAUCAGGAUUAUGCAUUUUGAUGUUGUUAAGUAAACAAACAAUAACAAUUGUCAUUUAAAGAAAACUUUAUGAAGGAGUUUUUUUGUGUGAUUUUUUUUUACAAGACACAUUAUAUUUUUAAAUCAUUCCCCUGAUCGGCACGCUCCUCGCGGGGAGCACGGAUGAUCAGGGUGGGGAUGGAUGAUGAGGUCUGCGGAUGAAGUCGCCAGCGGGUAUCAUGACCUCAUUCUGUAUUUGAUAAGGGUGCCCGCUCACACUGUCUGCUACCACACCGGCCAGGAACAGUGAUAAUGUUCCAGUCACGCACGGAUCGCUGCGAUUACUCUUUGUCGUCACCCGCUCGGAGCUGUCUCCGUCCGAGACUGUCAUUGUGCCACAUUUAGAGGGAAUGGGAGGAGCCCCUUUCAUUGCCGGUGUGACGGUGUGAGUCCUCCCGGUGCUGAAAGGUUUCCUUGUGAAUAAUGCGCAUGCGCGUAUAUUUUGUAAACUUCCAGCCAGUCUGAAA